rnacentral:misc_RNA from 1 species
CACCCACUCCAGCCUCGCUGGGUCUUGGGCGUCGCGGAAUCCGCGCGCCUCGAAGCCGUCGGCUGGGCCGUCCGCCUCCUAGCGUCGUGGUGACAUUGAUCCGCUUCCGAGGUUCGCGAUGGCGCCGGGCCGUAAAACUCCCCUUCUUA